AGAGUUUGAUCCUGGCUCAGGAUAAACGCUGGCGGCGUGCCUAACACAUGCAAGUCGAACGCUCUUCGCAAGAAGAGAGUGGCGGACGGGUGAGGAACACGUGGGUAUCUGCCUUGAGGUGAGGAAUACCGGCGAGAAAUCGCCGACAAUACCGCAUAUGCUCGGAAACGAGCAAAGUCGUAAGACGCCUUGAGAUGAGC
rnacentral:rRNA from 1 species